ACCAUCAACCUCCCCAUUAUAUCAACCCCUCCUCCCCUCUCGGUUCUCGCACCUCCACCGCUCCCUUCCAGAUCUCUCCCCUCUCCUCCCACCGCCAUUGCCGACCUCCUCUCUUAGAUCAGUACAUCUCCAUCUCGGUUGUCUGUUCUUCUCGGGUGUCCUUCUCCGCCGUCCGAUCUACUUCAAGAUAAGGGAAGGAGGCCACUACAUCGAGGGCGCCGAGCUCAUCAAUCCUGUUCUCGAUAUGGUCCGGAAGGAGGACGAGAACUGCGAUUGCUUGCAAGAUACUCAAGUAGAGGUUUGAGCUACUUGAUAGCGUGGAAGAAAUUUUACACCAAUGCAAGACAGACAGUGGAUCACCAUGCUUGUUUUCCAGUUGUGUAUGCGAUUUGACUGCAUAAUAAUAAGUCCCAGCUGAAUAUUUCUUUUCUAAUUUAUGUGUCUUAUUCUUGUAUUUAUGGGACAUUUAUAUUCUAGAAAAUGUCAAGGUGUUGUGCAUCAGUUUCUCUCAAUUUCUUUUAGCAAGCUAUUGUUCUUCUAGGGUUGUAAAUAAGCACUGUCAUGAAGAUACCUCAAUGGGCAGCUCUUCCAUUUCCGAGGUUGGCUUUGGUUUGAUUUGCUUAUUUUUCUUUUCUGUGACAAUUCAUGUGAAUAUAGUGAGAAUGUCUCUGCAGUUGCAAA